UUACAUGAUGAAUUUUGCUUUAUUACUAUUUUUCUGGUACCUCUUAUGUCAGAGACUUUCACGAGUCUCGAUGAUCUAAAUGGGCUUCUGAUC
rnacentral:snoRNA from 1 species